UACGUAGGGGGCUAGCGUUGCUCGGAAUCACUGGGCGUAAAGCGCACGUAGGCGGACUCUUAAGUCGGUGGUGAAAUCCUGGAGCUCAACUCCAGAACUGCCUUCGAUACUGGGAGUCUCGAGUCCGAGAGAGGUGAGUGGAACUGCGAGUGUAGAGGUGAAAUUCGUAGAUAUUCGCAAGAACACCAGUGGCGAAGGCGGCUCACUGGCCCGGUACUGACGCUGAGGUGCGAAAGCGUGGGGAGCAAACAGG
rnacentral:rRNA from 1 species